UACGUAGGGUGCAAGCGUUGUCCGGAAUUAUUGGGCGUAAAGAGCUCGUAGGCGGUCUGUCACGUCGGCUGUGAAAACCCGAGGCUCAACCUCGGGCCUGCAGUCGAUACGGGCAAACUAGAGUGUUGCAGGGGAGACUGGAAUUCCUGGUGUAGCGGUGAAAUGCGCAGAUAUCUGGAGGAAUACCGGUGGCGAAGGCGGCAUCCUGGACCGACAUUGACGCUGAACGGCGAAAGCUAGGGGAGCAAACGGG
rnacentral:rRNA from 1 species